AUUCCAGCUCCAAUAGCGUAUAUUAAAGUUGUUGCAGUUAAAAAGCUCGUAGUUGGAUUUGUGGCGUCUUUUGUGGUCCAUUUGGUACUAACGAGAGAAGCCAUCCUUGGGUGGAGGAUGUGUGGCAUUAAGUUGUCGUGCAUCGGAUGCCCAUCGUUUACUGUGAGAAAAUUAGAGUGUUCAAAGCAGGCUUAUGCCGUUGAAUAUGUUAGCAUGGAAUAAUGAGAUAGGACCUUGGUACUAUUUUGUUGGUUUGCGCACCGAGGUAAUGAUUAAUAGGGACAGUUGGGGGUAUUCGUAUUCCAUUGUCAGAGGUGAAAUUCUUGGAUUUCUGGAAGACGAACUACUGCGAAAGCAUUUACCAAGGAUGUUUUC
rnacentral:rRNA from 1 species